CUGACUCACAGAGCCCCCUUAGACCUGCUGCGUUCUCUGGCGGGCUAACCCUUUCCAAAAUCUCCAGUUAGCGUUUCAGCUCAGAUCCUUCACUUCUUUCUGAAACACUAGUGCCUACCCUUGCCAUGUUUUAUUUUUUUAAUUCCUGGUAUUUCCUUACUAAUAUCAGAAACUCCUUACUGAUUGCAAGACUCUGUGUGGCCUGUCUGCUGACUAGAGUGAAAACUACAGGAGGGCAGAAACUCUGUGUCACACAUGACAGUGGCUCACUUUCCAUCCACACGGAAGGGACCUACUCCACCUUAUCUCAUCAGGUAAGUAAUGCAUGAUAGCCAUUUAGAUUAAAAGGGAAUAAUAAUAGUGGUGGUGAGGAGGAGGAUGGUGGUGCUGGUUCUGCUGCUGCUGCUGGUGGGGGCUUGAACCAUCUAGGCACGUCCUGUCAUUUCUUUGGACAAUGAAGGGAGGUGCAAUCAUAAUGGAAGAUGGCCAUGACUCCACCUCCACUUGGGACUCCUGGGGAAAUAAGGCCAACAUAAUACAAAGUAGAAAUACAUUUUCCUGGAAUUGUGCAACUCCUAUUCAGACAAAAAUAGGGCUAAGCAUGGGAUCAGAAGUAGGUGAGCAUUCACAAUCUAAAUGUUGAAGGGAACGUAGCAGCCCCUGAGUGGUAGAGACCAAGGAAGAUGGCGUCCGUCUCAGCCCCACCUGAAGCAGAUCCCUGUGUGGCACUAUUGUUCCUGCAGGCCAGGUCUGAGGUCCCCCUGGCUACCUGAGAAAGUCAGCUUAGGUGAUCAUCACCAAAGCACAGGGCAUGCCCAAAGGAACAGCAUGGUGUCCGCAAGGCUGUGAAUCACUCCAGGCCUUAACAGGUAUAAGCUAGGCAAUUUUAUUUGGAUGGCUAACUCACUCUAAUAGCAAAUAAAGCCAUAAAAUUAGGAGCUGGAAUAACCCAAGACACUAAUGCAAAAUUAAGCACUGAUGUCUCUGGUCCCUAUCCCAAUCCCUCUCUAUGUUCAAAAUCCCCUUAACAUCUUGACUAGACAAAAAUAUACCCAGGUGGUCCAUGAAUACAUCCAUGGAUUAAAGACAGUGCCAGAGGAGGAGGAGGGAAGGUCGGCUCACGGUGGCUCUGAGUGUUCCUGAGCUGCAUGGACUGAUGGCCAUCCACACUGUUCCUGUCCUGCCUUCAAUCUGUCCAGUUGUUAAUCUCUAAUUUACAUAGAAGAGUUCAGAUGGCUUAGUGUCCUAGAGAAUGUGAUUCCUAAAAGCAAUCUAAUUGCUUCUAAUCCAUCUUUUGGUGUUGGUCACAUCAGCUCCAGCCCUCCUGGGAGCUUCUCACAAGCUUCUCCACCCUCUGCCCACUGACCCACAUUUCCAGUAGGAACUCAAAUGAACAUUUUUUUUAAGCCCUACUAGUAUGCAAGGCAGGUUCUCGGGGGUCAGGUGUUUUGUAAAGGACCCUAGAGCCCUUUGAUGACCUUAUCCAAUAAGGUUCUAAUGUUUAAAACAUACGACAUAAAUCAGAAAUAGAAAACAGUUGAUUAAUGUGUGUUCAUGUAUUUCUUUCUCCUCUUCCCCAAAUCUCCUUGGAAGGACUGUACACCUGGUUACUGAGGCUUCUGUCCUAAUAAUAAACAUUUUUCUUAUAAGAAAAAAAUUACUAAAAACAAUCUGAUAAAACUGAAUUGAUUUAAAAUAAAAUCCAAAAAGCUUCAAUUAAUACUCAAGCUCACCACUAACCUCCCCAUUUUUUGAGACUUGCUUUUUGUCUAAAACACAGAGCAAACAUAAGUUAAGGACAGAAAAUGAAAAUCUGAGGACAUAAAGAAUACAGGGGCAUAUCACAGGUCAGAAAUAACCUUCUCAAAAGACAAAAGGAGAAAUUCCGGGGCAAGAACAUACUGCACCCAGGAACUUUAAAGGAGCCCAAGUUAGUAAUCACGUGCACACACGUGCACACUCACACACACACACAGCACACACACAGUUCAACGGUAGUGGAAGAUAAUGUAAGAGAAACUUAAGUGAAGCGACAGCUGUAAAGACAAAUGAGACCGCAGGAGAAGAGAGAGGGGGCGAAGGUUAAUCCACCAACAGGAGGUGGAGGGCUGUGCCCAACUUUGCUCUUGAAGUGGAUGUGGUAGUUUGGAGCUCCACACUCUCACCGAAAAGCACUAAAACUCUCUGAGUUUUUUAAAAACCUGAAACUAUUUCCAGGUUUCCUAGGAUUACUAAACCUACAAACCCGGGGGGAGGGGGAAAUUCCCGAGGAGAUAAGCUCUCAGAGGUCCUUCAGGGGGUGGAUGUGUGCUGACCUAGACUCAAGGCCAAAGCUGAGAGUCCAAGCCCCAGGGGCCAGGCUGGGGAUGGAGACUUGAGGGGACCUGGGGCCAGGUGGACUAGAGGGAAAACUAAAGACCAAAGAGAAGGAGUCUGAUGAGGAAGCAGUGAGAUGGAAGAGUCCAGGGGCAUUUCCCAUGAAGAGGGCACCGAAAAGCACAAGGGCUUCCUGUGUUGGAAACAAAAGGGAUGAUCCUUCAGGUUUCAGCAGAAAGUCCUGGGCGCUCUGCAGCAGGAGACAGGCAGAGCCUUCCUCGCAGGAGACCCAGGCCAGACAGGAACUGAAUCAAGGCGAGCAAUGCCCACUUUUCAUACCCAAGGAAAACGUAGUGGAUCUUUCAUGGUGGAAGCCACAUCAUCUGGAGCCCUUUUGUAAAUUUACAAUAGCUGUCACUCAAUAAAAAUGUACUAGACAUUCCAAGGCACAGAAACCGAUGAUUAAAAACAGUAGAGGACCUGUCAAAACAAACCCAUAUGCAUUCCCGAUGCUGGAGGAACUGUAGGUCCAUGAACAAGCCAAACAAACAAAAUAAGAUUUGAUCAAUUCACCCCACAUGUAAAAGCUAAAAAUAAACCAUGCCUCUAAAUGUAAACAUAAAUCCAUAAAAAUCAAUACAAGAGAAAAAAAUUUCUGCUCUUGAGUUAAACAAAGUUUUCUUAGCUAUUAUGCCAAAACUAUGAUCCAUAAAAGACAAAAAUUGAUAAAUAGGGAUUUGUUAAAAUUAAGAUCUCCAUAGACUGAGAGAAAACUUUUGUAAAUCCUACAUAAGGUCCAGGAGGUAUAUGCAAAAUAUAUAAGGAACUUUGACGUUUUUUUUUUUUUUUAAUUUUAAUUUUGGUACCAGGGAUUGAACUCAGAGGCACUGAACCACUGAGCCACAUCCUCAGCCCUAUUUUGUAUUUUAUUUAGAGACAGGGUCUCACUGAGUUGCUUAGCACCUUGCUUUUGCUGAGGCUGGCUUUGAAACUUGUGAAUCUCGUGCCUCAGCCUCCCAAACUGCUGUGACUACAAUUUGUUAGUAAUAAUCAACACAAUCCAAAACAGAUAACCAAAUGAGUUUUGUAGUCAAUUCAUGAAAGAAGAUGAAAAGAUUCCCUAAAUAUAAUCAACUCUUUAAUGUAAAAGUUGAAUAUAUGUAAAUUAAAAUCACAAUGUCCCUCUGCAUACCUAUCAAUAUCUCUACAAUUAACUGACUGACCACACCAAGUGUUGCUGAGAACAUAGAUCAGCGAUAUUUUUGUAUAUUGCAGUGAUCACAGAAUGUUAUAACAACUCUAGAAAAUAUAUGCAGGUUUUUAAAAACACACCUAUAUACCCUAGGGUUGACCCCAGACAAAAGAAAGCACAUGCUACAUGAAGAAUCAAACCUGGGUACUCCCAGGAGUUUCACUAUUUAACAGGUCGAAUCUAGAAACAACCCAGGGGCAAUUACAAGGAAUGACUGAACUCACUGUGGCAUAUUCAUGUAAGAAUACUAAGAAAUAAGCCAGAAAGGACAACUGGGAGAGCCAAAUCAUGGAUGGACCUCAAAGUAAUUACGCUGAAUGAGAGUCAGACAAAAGAGGGUGCAUAUUCCAUGUUUGUGUUGAAUACAUUUCUAGAAAAAUGCAAACUAAUCCAUAGUGAAAGAUGAUGGCCUCAAGGAAGAAAUCAUAAGCCGACCGAGGACUCUUCAGAGGUGGUAGAUGUGUCCUGAUUUGGGGAACAGUUUCACAAAUAUGUUAAAACACGUUCAAAUACAUCAAGUUACAUACUUUAAGCCUUUUCUUAAGUAUAUACUAAUAAAUCUGAUAAAAGUAAAUCUUUAAACAUAGAGAGCAUAUGUUAGUCAGCUUUUUGUUACUGUGACAAAAUACCUGCAUAAUUAUCUUAAAAAAGAAGCAAAGUUUAUUUUGGCUUAAGGUUUUGGAGGUUUCAGUCCAUGGUGAUGUUGACCCUAUAACUUCUGGGUCUGGGGUGGAGUGUAUCACAGUGGAAAUGUGGCAGAGAAAGAAGCAGGAAGAGGAAGAGGAAGAGGAGGGCCUGGGGUGAUCAGAAGGCCUCCCACUAGCCCAUCUCUUAAAGGUUCACCACCUCUCCACCUCCCGAAUACACCACAGGCUGAGAACCAAGCCCCGACCACACUGGGGGACGCUUGUCCAAACCAGAGUGGAAUAACACCCCUGAGAGACUUGACCUAAUGGGCACAGGUAAAUGCUACCCGCUGCUGGGCAUGUGCCCCAGGUAUUCCUUUCUCCUCCUCUUCCAGUGUCUUCAGGCCGAGCCUCUGUGGACAGACCCUUCUCUGGGGCUGAUGCAGUGUUUCCUCAGGUCUCCUGAUUGGAGGUCCUCGCAAUGUUCCAGAACCCCACCCUGUUUUCUCUUCACCUGUGUUUGUUUUACUGUUGCGAGGUCCUCGUCACUCUAAAUUCGUGACACCGUACCCUGAAUUCCUGCUUAGACACCCAGUGUCCUGCCGUUGCUAUGGUCCCCUGCUUCCUCUGUCCUCUGCCUAAGCCAUAGCCCGCCCCUGAGGGCUGCAGCUUCACCCCUCGGCCUUGGCUGUCUGUCAUCGUCACCAACACGCACCCUAGGACCUGGGCGCAGGUGCGGCCAUUUCUCCAUCUCCACCCCUCCCCUGUCCGCCCAACUCCCUUUGCUCCUCACCUAGCAUCUCUUCAUUAAAAUUUUGGUGCCUAUAGAAUAAACUACUGCUCAACUUGCCUAAUAAUAAAUGAAGAUGAAUCUAGUAAGCUGUUUAAAACAACCAAAAUUGUACCUUAAAAUUUAUAAACAUAAGACAUGCUAAUUGUUGAGAGUUUUAAAAAUUAAGCAGAAGUAAUAAGAAAAAUAUCCAUAUUCCUACCAAAGGGGAAAAUACCCCAAUUUUUAUAAGAUCUUUAUGUUUAACGUUUACUGAGUAUUAAUUACCAUCCAGAAACCAUUCUAAAAGUUUUACAUGUGUUUAUAUGUAGUAUACACACAUGUAUUUUAUAAACUAUGUUGGCAUGGCCUGUCUGUAGCAUGUGUUUUUCUUUAAUCAUGUAUCGUAAACAUCUUUGUUCACAAGCAUAGAAUCAUCUACACUAUAAUUCACAUCUACAUAGCAGUUAAUCCCACAGACAGAAUUUAUUGUCUAAUAAAGGUGUAGAAUUUCAAUUAGUUACUAUUUAACAAUGAAGUAUUAAAUAUAUCUAAAAUUUAAAAGAAAACAUAUUGGGUCUGAAAUUCUCCAAAUUCUGAAAUUGGAGUAAGAACAAUUUUAAAUGCAUUUUAAAAGUUAUAUGUGGGUGUUGUUGAAUUGCUCCUUGGAGACUUUGCACCAUUUAUACUUUUGUACAUAGUUUAGGAAAAUGUCUACCUGUACAUGCAUUUUUUUAGACUUUUAUAACAUUACAUUCAAUUUCAAAGGAAAUUCCGAUAAUUGCCAACUUUGCACUUUGUUCAACAAAUUUAAAAUGAAUAGAACUAUUCACAUCCAAGAAAGACAUUGGGAUACAACCAAAUUUUGUUCCUUACAUAUUUCACAUUUCUGACUCAGAAAUUCUGAGCAUCCUUUUACUGCACUUUACCAACACUUGUGUUUGGACAACAUAUAAAGAAAAAAAAUUAAGCUGCACUUAACUUUCAAAUUUUUAGCAUAUUCAGUGAUACAAGUCAAACACCAGCUGGGGACGAGGUCUUUGUAUGAGAUCAUCAAGUUUGCAAGAGAAGAAUCUGUGCUUGUAAGCCAGUCCAACCCCUUUAAUCACCAGCCAGCAGCUUCAAGUACAUAGCACGCCUGUCCCAGGGCACAAAUUCCCAAGGGGAAGUCCUCCUCAACCACCUGUCCAUGGGCCACACAGAGCACUCCCCUUCCAAAUAGGGAAUUCAACACUGCUUCUCCCAGGUAUUACCCGAGCAGGGAACAACAACCCAACAGAGAGCACAGAGGAACUAGAUGCAACGUUUUCAGACCAGAACAAUGUAAAAAUGCACUUUUCAAAAAGCUUUGAGAAUUUCCUAACUUUGGCAGUAGAGCAUGAGACCAGGCUUCGGCCCUGUGCUGUGGUUCACGUUUCAUACCAACGCAGCAGUUUCUGUGCAGGGCAAUGAGUGACCCCACGGAUCUAACUUUUCCAGUAACAUCAUAGGUCUGGUAUACUCUUUCUAAUUACAAGCAUGAAUGAGAUGAUUUGUGAAGAAGUUUAACUCCUCGAAGCAAUAAAACGAGCAAGUUGCUAUCAGGAAUAAUUAAUUACACAAUGCCAUCAAGAGGAACACAUUGCAGACUCCUCCUUUCCAAAAACCACAACACAAGGUCAGACAGACACACAUCAUAAUCACUUUUCAGAAUUAAUUUCUCAAAUUUUCAUGUUUGGAGGCAGAAAUUCCCUUAGCAAGAGUUGAGAGAUGUACUAUGAUUUUCAUUUUCUCUCAAAUAUUUUGAUGUUAUUUCUUUCUUUGUGGGAAGAAUUCACUUGUAAAGCCAAGUAACUAGAAUUUAUUUAUGGGAGAUAUUUUUACUUCAUAAUAAAAUUACUGAACAGACAUAAAAUUGUUCAGAUCCUCUAGUGUCUGUGUUGGCAAGGUACAUGUAUGAGGCACACACACUUUAGAAAUUUGCCGAUUCUGUUUAAUAUUCAGAUUCUUUGGCAAAAUUAUUAUUCAUAAUAUACUCUGAUUUUCAUUUUAAUGUUUGUGAGAUCUGUAGUAAUGUCCCACUGUUUCUAAUGUUGGUGAUUAAUUUUUCCGUUUUUAUCAACCAAUUAAUGAAUGUAUCCAACUCAUCUAUCCUUUUCAAGCAAUUGACUUUGUUCUCAUGCUCAAGUAAUCCCUUAUUUUCUAAUUUCAACAGCUAGAAGCCACUCUUGGCGCAGACUGUGAAAUGUCAUUACAGACUGCUUCCUUUUCCUAAGGACCAGAGCUUCUGAAUUUCUCACUGGCAGGAUACUGCUGACUUGAGUUUUCUGUUCUCAGUCUCUGAGGCAGCAAAGGGUUCAUCUGAAAAACCUGAACCCUUGGAUGGUGCUUUCCUUUCAAUUUUUUUUUUUUUUAUUUUUUACUUUUAAUGCAACAGUCCCAGAUUCACCAUGCAAUGGCCAAAUGUUCAGCUUGACCCUUCUCAAGUCUAUGUGAAACAUCCUCAAGGGCAGACCAUAUGUUGGGUCAUAAAACAAACCUUAAUAUAAUUACAAAGGUCGGAGUAAUAUGAAGUAUAUUUUCUGGCAAUAAAUGAAUAAAGAUUGAAACCAAUAAAAGCAGCAAAAAUGGAAAAUUUUAAAUGCGUGGAAAUGAAAAAAACAUGCUGUUAAACAACCAAUAGGUAAAAGAAGACAUCACAAGAGAAACUAGAAAAUAUUUAGAUCCAAAUAAAAAUGUGAAACAAAAUAUCCUAAAAUUUAUGGAAUAUUGUGAAGGAAAUACUAAAAGAAAAAUUCAUAGAUAUAAAAACCUACACUAUAAAGGAAGAAAAAUUUCAAAUCAGCAAUUAUCUGUAUACCUUAAGGAACAAAAGAAGAGGGGGUGGAGCAACUCACAGGUAGGGUAAGGAAGAGAACAAAAAUUAAAGUGGAACUGAAUGAAACAGAGAAUGGAAAAGCAAUGGGAAAAAUCAACAAAACCAAAAACUGAAUACUUAAAAAGACAAGAAAAUAGGAAAAUCUCUAGCUACACUGACCUGGGGAAAAAGAGGAUAUCCAAAUAGCUAAAAUGUAAAAAGAAAACUGAGACACUACUACCAACCUUACAGAAACAAUAAUAAUUAAAAGAGAAUACAGUAAAAUAUCGUGCACCAACAGAUUUGAUAACCUAGAUAAAAUGCACAAGUUCCAAGAAACCCACAAAUAACCUAAACUGAUUCAAAAAGAUAUUUUAAAAAUCUCAAACUUGUAACGAGUAAUCAGUAAUCAAAAACAUAACAACAAAGAAAAUUACAGGACCAGAUGGCUUCAUGGUAUUUUCUUUGGUUUUGUUUUGUUUUGUUUUUUGUUGUUGAAUUUGCACUGGGGAAGAACCUAGUGCCUUGUGCAUGCUAAGCAUGAGCUCUACUCCUGAACUACAUCCUCAGCCAAGGGAAUAUUUUUAUGUGAUGCAGAUGAUCAAACCCACGGCCAUAAGUACGCUAAGCAAAUGCUCUGCAAUUGAGGUAGGCCUCUAUCCUGAAGGACUUUUUAUUAAUUCAUUGGUAAAUUCUUCCAAACAUUUAAAGAAUUAAUAUCAAACAUUCUCAAACUCUUCCAAGAUAUAGAAGAGUGAAUAUUUUUGUGUCCAUGAGCUUUUUAUGUCUGUGAUCAAAAUAUCUGGCAAGAAGAACUUAGAGCAGGAAAAGUUUACUCAUGACUCUAGGGGUCUUGUCCAUGGUCAGAUGACUACACUGACCUGGGCCCAAGGUGUGAUACACCACUACGGUUGAAGGACAUGGUGGAGCAGCACUGCUCUAUCAGGGCAGUCAGAAAGAAGAGUGGGUGGGUAGUGGGGUGCAGAGAAGAUGCACCUUUCCAAGGCACCCCGUCUAGCCAUGACCCAUCCGCCUACAGUUGCCACCCUGCCAGUCCAUUUAAAACUACCAUGAACUGAUUAGGUUAUAGCUCUCCUAUUCUCAGCCUUUCACCUCAGAAAAUUCCUGCAUUAACACAGGAACUUUUGUGAAAUCUCUCAUAUCCAAACCACAACAACUUCCAGCCUUAUUCUAUGAGGUCAGAUUUUCUUAACACUAAAGAUAAAUCUAUAACCAUCACUGUAUUGAUCACUAGCAAAAAACAACUUGAUAAAGAAGAUGAUGAUGGUACAUUGCAGACUACAGAAUAAAUAUUGUUGAAAGAAUUGAAGAAGAUCUAAACCCAUGUUCAUGGACUGAAAGACUUAAUGUUAUUAAAACGCCAGUACUACACAAAGUGAUCUAGCAUGUAAGAUUCAACAUAACUUCUACAAAAAUUCCCAAGGUCUGUUUUGAAGAAAUAACAAAGCCAAUUAUCAAAUUCACACAGAACUCUAGAGAUCAAAAAAAGCCAAUUUUCAAAAUGAAAUAUAGCAUAUAAAAUUUCCUGAUUUAGACACUUAUCUGGAAAUCUACAGUAAUAAAAACAAUGUGGUACCGGUAUAGAUGGAAUGGAACCGAUAGUUCAUAGAUGAGCCCAUGCAUCUACAGUCAAGGUGUCAGGGACACUCCAUGGGGAGGUAACUGUUUUCAGCAAAUAGUACCAGAACAACUUUCCACACAGUAAUCUAAAUCUAAGAUAUAAAACCAUAAAACAGAAGAAAACAUGAGGGUAAGUCUUCAUAACCUUGGACUUCACAAUGAAUUCUUAGAUGUAACACCAGAUGUGUGAGCAGCAGCAACACAACCAAAAAGUAACUUUAACUUCAGGAAAAUUAAAAACUUUUGUGCACCAAACAACUUUAUUAAGAAAGUUAAAAUCUAAUACAAGGGGGACAAAUGAAUGACAGUAGAGGGGGCAGAGAGAGAAGAGGGGAGGGGAGGGGAGGGGAGGGGGGAUAGUAGAGGAUAGGAAAGGCAGCAGAACACAACAGACACUAGUAUGGCAAUAUGUAAAUCAAUGGAUGUGUAACUGAUGUGAUUCUGCAAUCUGUAUAUGGGGUAAAAAUGGGAGCUCAUAACCCACUUGAAUCAAAGGUUGAAAUAUGAUAUAUCAAGAACUAUGUAAUGUUUUUAAUAACCAACAAUAAAAAAUUUAAAAAAAAUAAAAUAUAAAAAAAAAGAAAGUUAAAAUCUGGGAGAAGACAUCAAGGAACCUUAAAUAAGCAUUUCUAAGUGAAAAGAAAUCAACCUGAAGAGUUACAAACUGUGUAACACCAACUGUAGGACAUUCUGAAAUGGCAAAACUAGAGUCAAUCAAAAGGUCCGUUGUCAUCAGUGGUUGAAUGGUGAAUCACGAGGAAGAUGAAUGGGUGCAAUACAGAACGGUUUUAGCGAAUAAUUAUAUUCUCUAUGAUAUUCUAAAGAUGGACACAUUAGAUAGAAUUUGUCAAGCACACAAAAUAUACAUUAGGGGCCCUAAUGUAAAGUAUGGAUGUUGGUGAAUGAUAAUAAUGCAUUGAUAUGGAUGUUCAUCAGGUGUUGGGAAGAUUCUAAUAACAGGGGAAACUAUGGGAGGGGCUUUCUCUGCUCAUUUUUUUUCUCUGCUCAUUUCUUCUCUAAAAUCAAAGCCACUUAAAGAAAUAAUUUCUUUUAAUAACAACAAACAAACAAAAAGUGGUGAGUAAUCUGAGGAACUCUUAGCCUGAUGAUAAUAAUUCUUUCUUUGAACUUUUUAAAGUGACCCUUUGCACUUUGUGGACUGGGCAGGUGAGCCUCUGGCACCAUCUCUGUUAGAAAAAUAGUAACUUUUCUUUCUUAAGAUGUUUAUAAGCUCUUUGUGAUUUUUCCUGUGCCAUUUUCCUUCUUCAAAUACAACACUACUAUAAUUGUUAUGAAUGUCAGAAUAAGACAAAAACAACUGAAUACAGAGUCAAUCAAGUAAGAAUGAUCUUCAUCCAAACUCUAUCCAUAUUUCUGUCUUUGGAUUUGAGCAUAGUAUUGACUGUUUCAUUGUAUGUGCCUUACUCUAAAACAGAUUUUGAUCAAAUUCUCUGUUUAGCAUUUUUUUUUUCCUGAUGUGGUGCCUUGCUUCUUGGUUCUAUUCACUCUUUCCAGUGAAAUGAUCCAAAACUCUGUUUCUGAUUAUACUAUGUAAUUUUAAUACAGAAAGUUAGUUUGUCAAUAAGAGAUUUUUACCUCAAUAAAACUGUAUAUAUUUUCCAGUAAAAGUCAUCCUAAUAGAAAAGUUAUGUUGCUCUAUUAAUGUUGACUUGUAAGAUUGGGGAGACAAUUAUGGAAUAAUGCUUCAUUUUAUGAACGGAUUACUUACAAUUGUUUAAACAUUUUUUGGCAUAGAAAAUGUUCCAUGUUUUAGUUAAAUCUUCUUUAAUAAAAAUACCUCCUUCUGUGGCAAGUUAAGUGUUACAAAUAUGCAUGUAUCUGCAUCAGAAGAUGUUCAUGUAUUUAAUAUAUUUCUUGUAUGAUUCACACACAAAAAAAGAGACAGCAUCUAUACUCUUUCUCUUAUAAUCUCCAAAUCUCCAAAGAAAGCCCAAUAUGUUUAAAAAAAUGCUUAUUGAGUGUCUAUUUAAUGUCAGGCACUAUUCAGGGCACUGGAAACAGUAGGACCUAGAGUCAUCAUGACAUUCCCAGAGCAUACAUUCAAUUGGAGGGAGACAGACAGAAUACACAUCUCAUUACCAGUAUAAGAAAAUAGCAAAGAGUAUCAGGAAAACAAAGAGCAUUCACAGUGUAAAGAGCAUCCGAGGGUGAGGCAACAGGUAGAGGAGCUAUUGUUGAAAAUCUGGAAACAGCCUUACUUACAAACCAAUGUGUUAACUUCCCAAAAUUUCAUGAAUUAAAGAACAGGCAUAGAUUCCAAGUGUACAGAGAAGGGACAGUUUGCUAUUCACAACAGGAGUAACAUCAAAGUAUCCACACUUUUGAGGCAGUUCUCUCAGCCAGAAUUCUCAAGGAGAACUCAGAUGAAAGUAGACCACUUCUGAAUAAGCAGUAUGUUGGCUCAUGGGACAAAAACUCUAAGCACAGACAACCUGCCUCUUUUAUAAUAGGCAGUAAGCAUGCCCGACCUUACCCUCUUAGUCUUGUCUCCCAGUGUUCACGAUACAGAUAUCUCUUAGAGAUAUUCCCAUGACUAAGUGCAGUCAGUUCCUUGCUUAAAAGAUGUGUAGAGGUGAGAAAGACCUGUGGAGAAUUGACUGGCAACAGCAUCCACUCUUCACUUCCACCCAGUCUCAAAUUUUAGCUACUUUUCUCUUGAAUAAGUCACAUAUCUCACUCCACCAGCCAGCCACCUUGACUGACCUGACUGCCAGAGCACUUGACCAAAAACAUUCAAUUUGACUCAGAUGUUUCAAGUUUACUCUCAACAGCAAUGUAAGUGCCAGAGGAAAGCCAGUCUAGUGUUAUUAUGUGCAAACAUACUUCCUGAAUCUAAUCAGCAAACUCGGUUUAAGUUUCUGUAUUGGUCUUAAUACUUGAAUUGGGACAUUGUUGUAAAUGUAGUAGAAUAUAUUAGUAACUAUACAGAUUCUGCCAUGGUCUACGGGGAAGAACGCUAUGGAAACUCCAUUAACCACUGUCCUCGUCAGUGAGAGGAGACUGACUUGAAGUCUUCCAAAACUGAAGUGAGGUCAGUAGAGGCUUCAGACAAAGUGAGGAAUGCAUGGAAUGCCAUGCUUUCUGGUUGAGUGACUGCUGUCCUAGAGUAACUGCCCAUAGGGUGUACGCUUAUCCCUUCAGAAGUUUUCCACCGGAACUCACCUGAGGGACACUAAGCUAUUGCAAUAUUUUCUUAAAUACUCAAAGUUCUACUGAGAUCCUGUUGUGUCAUCCUCCUUCUAUGAGGGAGACAAGUUAACCCCUGGUUUCUAUACAAGUAUAAUCCUAGAGUAUAUUCGGUGCCCCUGGAAAGAAAUCACUAUUUACAAUGGUGGGGACCUCCUAGUGACACCUGCAUGAGUCAGAGGCAGAGGAUGAACAUGAUUCAAAAUUGACCUUUCAUCUGCUCCUAGGUCUUAAACUGCCCAGUGCAGUUUAAAGAGCUGAGUUUAACACUUGGUUUUGGAGCAAAACAAUGGAAGCCAGUCUAACAUGCCCUGUUUUCUCACACGGUUAGAAGGAUGGCCCUUGUUUGCCCUCACGUUGAUUGAGCAGUGCGCAGGGAAUAGAGUGGGGAAAUAUUCAGAGGUGUUUAUGGAUGCUUUGCUUGGAAAGCGCUAGGGCUAGGGCUCCCUUUGGCUAUUUCUAACAGACUUCUCAGUCAAGGUUAGGAGAACGGCCUAGGGAACCUGAAUAUUUUAUAGUGGGCAGUAAGCAUGCCUGCCCUUUUCUUCAGAGAUAUAAAAUCCUUUUUCUGGAAAGAUGUAUGCUGUACACCUGUCCUUGAAAUGUUGGACUGAAACAGGGGAAUCUGUGCAUUUCCCACAAAAUAUACAGAAACACAAAUAUCCAUGCAAAGUUGUCUCCCACUAGGCAUUUCUGUCAGAAGGCACAGCAAGCACAAACACUUGAAAGCUGGAAGAUGGUGGGGAGGACUUGGCAGAUUUCCAAAGAUGCCGAGCAACCGAUUUUUCCAGAACUAAAAGGCAAGCGGGAGGAGGUGAGGCAGAGGUUGUAUCGCCGAACAUCUGCUAAGGCCCUGCAGUGAAUCACAAAAAGGAACGAAAUUCAAUUUUUUCUGAUUUUCAUUUUUUAAGGUAUAGGAAAUGAGAAAAGAUUUUCUCUAUCAUGAAAACUAUCACCAGUUGAACUGUAGGUCACAUCCCUAUUUUACCUGUUUUACAAAAAUCAGUCUGGGAUGAUCUUCCUACCUAUUAUGGUGCCAUGAAAACUGGUGGAGCCAGAAUCCCCAUCAAAAUGGACCUUCCAGGAACUGAGUCCAGCGACUCGUUGGUAAGACCAUGGGCUUUGCAUUUCAGUUCUAAUUAUUCACUCUGUGCCCUAAGGUCAAUGGAGUUUCUUUCCCUGAUCCUCUCACUUGGAGAAAGGGUCUCGUAACUAACCUUUACAACCAACACGAUUGCAAUUUAACAGAUAAGGGGGUUGAAUUUAUACCUCCGUUUACUUUGUUUUCCCACUAGCAAUAACAUCAACCGUGAAAACUUAUAUUAUGAGAAGUCUCGUUUGAAAACCCCGGUAUUAAAUACUACAUUAUCUUGGGACGUACUUAAUGUAACGUUAACUUGACCAAAGUACGUAUAAAAAGUUGAGAGACCAACAUAAGACGAAGAGAUGAAAUUUUUUUUUACUUACGUGUAUGUAUAUACUCUACCUCCCGUGUUUUACGACAUACAUACUCAUAGAGGUCUCUCCUUUUGACCGGAAUAAAUUUACACCGACGUACGGAUUCGACGGAUAAGUCAGGGUUGGGAUUGUUUCUAAAUCUUCCCGUUUGUUGGAAAUGUCGUCUUCACUCCUGAUAAAAAUGUGACGUUUUCAGAACCAAAAUACAAAUAAACAUUCUAAGACCGUCGAUAAAACUCUACAAAGACUCAACGUUACUCUUUGUAAUACAGGUACUUAAACUUUUUUCUCCCCUUUUAAUUUUUAUUUUUACUAAAAUCGCAUACCUAAAAAAAAAAAUGCUUUUAAAUUCAUUAUCAACAGAUUUUGAUAUUUUUGUGUGGGUUUUGUGUAGGGGGAUGUGUCUCUCCUAUCUGGCUGUUUUGGGAAGAUACUUGAGGGGGAAAAUAAAGAUCUUUUAAAAAGAUUCUGUGUUCUAGUUUUCCAAAGAAAGUACAUUUUUAAACUUGUAGAAAAGUUUAUGUCUGUAAAGAUGAAGGUAUCAUGCUGACUGAAUGGAAGGGAGCCACGGACCAGAGCUACUCCUGGGUUAAUGGCGUUGAAGACAGGAGCAAGGAGCCCUAACAGGCCUAGCAACAGUCCUAUCUGGAUCUGAUUCCAUGUGGGCCACUGUAGUUUUGAGCAAUCUUCUUGGUCUUUCAAAACCCUUAUUAGACUUUUGGGUGACAAUUCAGGGAUAGUGGAUUUGCAUUUUUAAAAACUUUUUAAAAAAGUGUUGUUUUAUAUGAAGCAUCAUUAGAGCAUACCUAGAUUGACUCUUAUUUAAAAUGUUAUUACGCACAGUGAUUACAACACUAUCAGCUAUUGUUUAUUGACAACCUACUGCUUAAUGAGAACAUAGUCACGCAAUCGACUUUAUGUCUACUCCACGUCUUAGUGCUAGAAAUAAGUAUUCGUUGCCAUAUUUUUCACAUGAGGAAUUAGAAAUAUUCCUUCCUAGUGAAAGAAAUAAAACUUAAUAUUAGUUCUGUGUGGAUCCCAAACCCAUGUUUGUUUUGUUACAUUAUAUUGUAUAUCUUUGUUCUUUGAUUUAUCAUUACCCUAAAUUUAUCUUUACAAAAGAAAAAAAAGAAGGUAAACCAAAGAAAAAAUUGGAGUGAAGUCUUGUGCUAUAAUUCUUUUAACCAUGGUAUUCAUAAAUGCUUUUCGAAGCACAUUUGAUCUAAUCACUGGGUGAGGGAGUGUGAGAAAUAUGGAAGGAGGAAAGCAAGAUUUUCUUUCUACUUCGUACAUGUAUUUGGGUAAAGAGAUCUCUAGUUUCUAAGCAAAAUAUUAUAGAACAGUUUGUAAGAGGAAUGCUUUGUGAAGAUACACAAACACAAUACAGAAAUAAACAGCAAAAUCCAAUUUCUGUUUUGGGAUUUUUCUCCCCAGUAAGGAGUUUGGAGUCUCUGGGCCUACAUAGCUAAAUUGAGUUGUUGUCAAGCUCUUUCAGAAAAUUGCAAAAUGCACAGAAUCAUACAUCACUGCAGUGCAAUGCUUCUUUUUAAAGCUUUAUUAGUGCCUUGUAGUUGUACGUAACAGCCGGGCUCAUCUGACACAAUCCUACAUGCAUGGGGUUUAAACGGCUCCAUUCCAGUCCUGGGCAUUUCCUCUUUCCCUUUCCUCCUCCUCACCCUCUGCCCUUCUGCUACUGUAUUGGUCUUCCUUCUGUUGUUUUUUUUUAACCUAUUUAUUUUUGAUUAGUGAUCUAUAGAUGUGCAUGAAGGUGGAAUUCACUAUCGUAUAGUUAUACAGGCACAUGGCAUAAUUUUGACAUAUUCAUUCACAUGUCCUCUCCUUUCCUAUCCCUCCUCCCUCCCCUUAAUCUCCUUCUUGUAUUCUGCAAUGUUUUAAGUAUAAAUUUAUUGCUAAGGUAGAACACUGCAUUUAUGUCUUAUCUAUUAACUGAUUAAUUGCAAGUUAAAUGCUGCUGGGUAAUAUCUUCACCAAAGACUUAUUUUUUUUUAAAUCACAUUUGAUCUGUGAUAUAUAUAUAUAUAUAUAUAUAUAUAUAUAUAUAUAUCACUUUUUUCCAGCACUCUCAAGAAAGAAUUUAGUACAUCUUUACAUUUCUUUAUAUAUACCUGAGUCCCUUGUGAGCUUUUAAAAUUUAGGCAUACAUUCGGUGUACAUUCAUUUCAUAGUUACUGGACAAUUGCCUUCAUAUGAUCAAUUUAAACUAGUGGGAAGAGUGGAGUUAAAAUCAACAUUAUACCUGCUGCCAACCAUUCUGGAAUUCCUGAGAAAAAUGGCAGAUAUGUAAAAAAAAAAACUUGCUAUACAAUGUGAGAAUUCUUUAAAUGCUAUGCAAAGGGAAAUGUGUGGUUAAAGAAAAGAACUAUAUAGUUUACAAAAUGCAGUGUCGGCUGUAUUUCAUUUGAAAGUCAUAAUUCUUUGAGGUAGACUGAUCUCCAUUCUCUCACUUCAUCCAUAGGGAUGUGUGAAGCAGGAGGAUUCAGAGUUAAAGAGUCCUUUGGCCAAGUUCACAGAGCCAGCAAAUGCUGGGGUGAAAAACAACUGUAGAUGAUUCUGGGAUGAGCACCAGUUCUCCCACCUGGUUUUGAGCCCUGGAUACUCCUGUACUGGGAAGGGAUGGAGCUGUACUCAUGUGCAGGUCAUGUUGUAGGACAGUUAUCUGAAGAUGGAGCAAGGACCCACAUGGGUCCACCUUAAUCACCUGAGCUCAUCUUAGGAAGAGAGAUUUUCUAGCUGGAGUUGGACUCAAAGCACAGUAAAGUUCUCAAGUUCCCUCUCUGGUUUGAAGAUAGGAAAGACUCAAAUGACAAGGAAAGUGAGUGACUUGGAAAGUGGGGGGCAUCCUCCAGUCGACAGCCAGCAGGAAGCAGGGGUCCCAAUCUGAUGUCUGCGAGAGACUGAAUUUUACCAGCAAGAAUGAACUUGGAAAUAGAAUUUUCUCCAGAGCUUCCAGACAGGCCAUCAGCCCAUCAACUUUGAUUUCUACCCUGGAGAGCCUGAUGACCCCCGCUCCCUUUGCUGGGCUUCUGACCUACAGAACUAUCCUAACAAACUAUCCCAUGCUUUUUUAAUCUAUUAAGUCUAUAAAAAUUUGUUACUCACAAAGAGAAAAUUGAUACAAUGCACCUAUGUCUUUUUAAAUUUUUUAUUUGUUCUUUUGUGUUACACGUGGCAGUAGAAUAUACUUUGACACAUCAUACAUGCAUGGACUAUAGCCUCC
rnacentral:lncRNA from 1 species